AUUGAACGCUGGCGGCAGGCCUAACACAUGCAAGUCGAACGAGUGGCGGACGGGUGAGUAAUGUCUGGGAAACUGCCUGAUGGAGGGGGAUAACUACUGGAAACGGUAGCUAAUACCGCAUACCAUCGGAUGUGCCCAGAUGGGAUUAGCUAGUAGGUGGGGUAAAGGCUCACCUAGGCGACGAUCCCUAGCUGGUCUGAGAGGAUGACCAGCCACACGGGAACGGAGACACGGCCCAGAUUCCGACGGGAGGCAGAAGUGGGGAAUAGUGCACAAGGGGCGCAAGCCGGAUGCAGCCAUGCCGCGUGUAUGAAGAAGGCCUUAGGGUUGUAAAGUACUUGCAGCGAGGAGGCGUUACCCGCAGAAGAAGCACCGGCUAACUCCGUGCCAGCAGCCGCGGUAAUUC
rnacentral:rRNA from 1 species